UGGUAGUCCACGCCGUAAACGAUGUCGACUUGGAGGCUGUUCCCUUGAGGAGUGGCUUCCGGAGCUAACGCGUUAAGUCGACCGCCUGGGGAGUACGGCCGCAAGGUUAAAACUCAAAUGAAUUGACGGGGGCCCGCACAAGCGGUGGAGCAUGUGGUUUAAUUCGAUGCAACGCGAAGAACCUUACCUACUCUUGACAUCCACGGAACUUAGCAGAGAUGCUUUGGUGCCUUCGGGAACCGUGAGACAGGUGCUGCAUGGCUGUCGUCAGCUCGUGUUGUGAAAUGUUGGGUUAAGUCCCGCAACGAGCGCAACCCUUAUCCUUUGUUGCCAGCGGUCCGGCCGGGAACUCAAAGGAGACUGCCAGUGAUAAACUGGAGGAAGGUGGGGAUGACGUCAAGUCAUCAUGGCCCUUACGAGUAGGGCUACACACGUGCUACAAUGGCGCAUACAAAGAGAAGCGACCUCGCGAGAGCAAGCGGACCUCAUAAAGUGCGUCGUAGUCCGGAUUGGAGUCUGCAACUCGACUCCAUGAAGUCGGAAUCGCUAGUAAUCGUAGAUCAGAAUGCUACGGUGAAUACGUUCCCGGGCCUUGUACACACCGCCCGUCACACCAUGGGAGUGGGUUGCAAAAGAAGUAGGUAGCUUAACCUUCGGGAGGGCGCUACCA
rnacentral:rRNA from 1 species